CCUACGGGGCGCAGCAGUGGGGAAUAUUGGGCAAUGGGCGCAAGCCUGACCCAGCAACGCCGCGUGAAGGAAGAAGGCUUUCAGGUUGUAAACUUCUUUUCUGAGAGACGAAGAAAGUGACGGUACCUCAGGAAUAAGCCACGGCUAACUACGUGCCAGCAGCCGCGGUAAUACGUAGGUGGCAAGCGUUGUCCGGAUUUACUGGGUGUAAAGGGCGUGCAGCCGGGAAGACAAGUCAGAUGUGAAAUCCCGCGGCUCAACCGCGGAACUGCAUUUGAAACUGUUUUUCUUGAGUACCGGAGAGG
rnacentral:rRNA from 1 species